rnacentral:rRNA from 1 species
CAGGUGGUACCUCGGAAGGACACCUUUCGGUAUUUGGGGUCAAUGUUGCAGGAGGAUGGGGGUAUUGAUGAAGAUGUGAACCAUCGAAUCAAAGCCGGAUGGAUGAAGUGGCGCCAAGCUUCUGGCAUUCUCUGUGACAAGACAGUGCCACAAAAGCUAAAAGGCAAGUUCUACAGGACGGCGGUUCGACCCGCAAUGUUGUAUGGCGCGGAGUGUUGGCCGACUAAAAGGCGACAUGUUCAACAGUUAGGUGUGGCGGAGAUGCGUAUGUUGAGAUGGAUGUGUGGCCACACGAGGAAGGAUCGAGUCCGGAAUGAUGAUAUACGAGAUAGAGUUGGGGUAGCACCAAUUGAGGAGAAGCUUGUCCAACAUCGUUUGAGAUGGUUUGGGCAUAUUCAGCACAGGCCUCCAGAAGCUCCAGUGCAUAGCGGACGGCUAAAGCGUGCGGAGAAUGUCAAGAGAGGGCGGGGUCGACCGAUUUUGACAUGGGAGGAGUCCGUUAAGAGAGACCUGAAGGAUUGGAGUAUCGACAAAGAGCUAGCUAUGGACAGGGGUGCGUGGAAGCUUGCUAUC